AACGCUGGCGGCGUGCCUAAUACAUGCAAGUCGAACGGUCUUUCUAUGGAAGCUUGCUUCCACUGAGAAGAUAGUGGCGAACGGGUGAGUAACACGUGGGUAACCUGCCCAUAAGAGGGGGAUAACAUCCGGAAACGGGUGCUAAUACCGCAUAGUUUUCUUGAUCGCAUGAUUGAGAAAGGAAAGAUGGCCUUUGUGCUGUCGCUUAUGGAUGGACCCGCGGCGUAUUAGUUAGUUGGUGAGGUAACGGCUCACCAAGACGAUGAUACGUAGCCGACCUGAGAGGGUGAUCGGCCACAUUGGGACUGAGACACGGCCCAAACUCCUACGGGAGGCAGCAGUAGGGAAUCUUCCGCAAUGGACGAAAGUCUGACGGAGCAACGCCGCGUGAGUGAAGAAAAGGUUUUCGGAUCGUAAAACUCUGUUGUCAGAGAAGAACAAGUUGGAGAGUAACUGCUCCAGCCUUGACGGUAUCUGACCAGAAAGCCACGGCUAACUACGUGCCAGCAGCCGC
rnacentral:rRNA from 1 species